CCUACGGGAGGCAGCAGUGAGGAAUAUUGGUCAAUGGACGAGAGUCUGAACCAGCCAAGUAGCGUGAAGGAUGACUGCCCUAUGGGUUGUAAACUUCUUUUAUAAAGGCAUAAAACGCGGCACGUGUGCCUUUUUGCAUGUACUUUAUGAAUAAGGAUCGGCUAACUCCGUGCCAGCAGCCGCGGUAGUACGGAGUAUCCGAGCGUUGUCCGGAUUUAUUGGUUUAAAGGGAGGGUAGGUGGGUGGUUAAGUCAGUUGUGAAAGUUUGCGGCUCAACCGUAAAAUUGCAAUUGAUACUGGCAGUCUUGAGUACAGUUGAGGUAAGCGGAAUGCGUGGUGUAGCGGUGAAAUGCUUAGAUAUCACGAAGAACCCCGAUUGCGAAGGCAGCUUACUAAACUGUGACUGACAUUGAUGCUCGAAAGUGUGGGUAUCAAACAGGAGUAGAUACCCUGGUAGUC
rnacentral:rRNA from 1 species